rnacentral:rRNA from 1 species
UAUGUGAUCGUCUCUCGCAUAUCAAUAAGCGGAGGAAAAGAAACUAACAAGGAUUCCCCUAGUAACGGCGAGUGAAGCGGGAAGAGCUCAAAUUUGAAAUCUUAAAGGGUUUCCCUUUACGAAUUGUAGUUUAAAGAAGUGUUUUCUGUUGAGGUUUUGGUAAAAGUUCUUUGGAAUAGGACAUCAUAGAGGGUGAGAAUCCCGUAUUUGACCUUUACUUUCAACUUUGCGAUACACUUUCAAAGAGUCGGAUUGUUUGGGAAUGCAGUCCAAAAUGGGUGGUAAAUUUCAUCUAAAGCUAAAUAUUGGCGAGAGACCGAUAGCGAACAAGUACCGUGAGGGAAAGAUGAAAAGAACUUUGAAAAGAGAGUUAAACAGUACGUGAAAUUGUCAAAAGGGAAGCGUUUGACACCAGUGUUGUUUUUCUGAAAAUCAAUUAAAGAACUGUUUAUGCUAAGUUGUUUAGACUUUAUCAGCUAACUGUUUAGUUUUGAGCUUUUCUUUAAUGCACUUUUCAGUUAACAAGUCAACAUCAAUUUCUUUUGCUGUAAAAAAGCUUGAGGAAGGUGGCUUGAGAUUCGUCUUAAGUGUUUAUAGCCUCUUGCCUAUGCAGUCGGAGAGAUUGAGGUCUGCAGCGUAGAUCCUUCGGGGCUAAGAUGCAUUUGUGCUAAGUUAUAGCAUUUUAUAGACAACUUGUUGACUAUGAUUUGUCUUGUAGCUUACUCGCUUAUGUUAUUUUACCUACGCUUAGGAUGUUGACUGAUAUGUAGUCGUA